CAUAACAAAACUUCCUUCGACUAGAAGGCAAUACUGCAUAAUUGCCAAACUCUGUUAUGCAAAUUUUCGGCUGUUCUAAUCAUAUAUUACGUCUAUUAAACUUACAUGGUGUUCUUUCUUGGGUAUGUUUUAAUUUCACGGAUAAAAAAAAAAUCACUGUUUCUUGAUAAGAUUAAGUGUGUACAUUAACAUAUUGUAGUCACCAAAAUUAUCGACCAAAAACAGCAAUAAUUUGAUAGAAAAAAAAAUGAAACAAAAGAUUUGAUUAUAUAAAUUUUGCAUGAAAGUGAUCACGAGACAGAUUUUCUCGUGAGAAUGAUUUGGUUGGAAGUAAAAAAAAAAAGAGAGGAUAGUGGGAG
rnacentral:lncRNA from 1 species